rnacentral:rRNA from 1 species
CCUGGACCCGAAGCGGGAUGAUCUAGCCCUGAGCAGGUUGAAGCGCGGGUAAGACCGCGUGGAGGACCGAACCCACCUGGGUUGAAAACCGGGGGGAUGACUUGGGGCUAGGGGUGAAAGGCCAAUCAAAUUCCGUGAUAGCUGGUUCUCUCCGAAAUGCAUUUGGGUGCAGCGUCGGGUCAUUACGUCCCGGGGGUAGAGCUACUGGAUGCUUGCGGGCCCGUAUCGGGUACCAACAGCAACCAAACUCCGAAUACCGGUGACGCGUAUCCCGGCAGUGAGUCGGCGGGGGAUAAGCUUCGUCGUCGAAAGGGAAACAGCCCAGACCGUCGUCUAAGGUCCCGAAGCGUGUGCUAAGUGGGAAAGGAUGUGGAGUCGCAUAGACAGCCAGGAGGUUGGCUCAGAAGCAGCCACCCUUGAAAGAGUGCGUAACAGCUCACUGGUCUAGUGGUUCCGCGCCGACAAUGUAGCGGGGCUCAAGCACACCACCGAAGACGCGGCAGUAUUUUGUACUGGGUAGGAGAGCGUCCCAUGAGGGGCGAAGCGGCCGUGUGAACGCGCCGUGGACUUCAUGGGAGUGAGAAUGCAGACAUGAGUAGCGAGAGACGGGUGAAGAUCCCGUCCGCUGGAUGACCAAGGGUUCCAGGGCCACGUUCAUCGUCCCUGGGUGAGUCGGGUCCUAAGGCGAGGCCGACAGGCGUAGUCGAAUGGAUGAACGGGUCGAUAUUCCCGUACCGGCUUUCAGCCGCCAAAACCGAGGCUUGGAGUACUAACCUCCGGGUCCGGGCUUACUGCUCCUUCGGGGGCGGGAUGCCCUGGCCUGUUGGGACCGAUCCUUGUAGUAGGUCAGCGCAGGAGUGACGCAGAAGGGUAGCCGGCCGCGGAGGUGGUCUUCCGUGGUCAAGCACGCAGGGCGUGGGACAGGCAAAUCCGUCCCGCAUGGGUCCGAGGUGCGAUGAUGGGGGCCUUAUGGCCCGAUAUCCGGUGAUCCCGGCUGCCGAGAAAAGCUUCGGCGUCAGGCUCGAAGCCGCCCGUACCCCAAACCGACACUGGUGGUCAGGUAGAGAAUACCAAAGCGAUCGAGCGAAUCCUGGUCAAGGAACUCGGCAAAUCACUCCCGUUCCUUCGGUUUAAGGGAGACCCCCGAUGGUGAACACGCUUGCUGUGGGAGCUUUUGGGGGUGGCACAGACCAGGGGGUAGCGACUGUUUACCAAAAACACAGGUGCAUGCGAAGGCGCAAGCCGCUGUAUAUGCACUGACGCCUGCCCGGUGCCGGAAGGUUAAGAGGAUCCGUCAGCCUUCGGGUGAAGCGGUGAAUUCAAGCCCCGGUAAACGGCGGUGGUAACUAUAACCAUCCUAAGGUAGCGAAAUUCCUUGUCGGGUAAGUUCCGACCUGCACGAAUGGCGUAACGACUUCCCCACUGUCUCGACCAGGAGCUCGGCGAAAUUGCAGUACGAGUAAAGAUGCUCGUUAAGCGCAGAAGGACGAAAAGACCCCGGGACCUUUACUAUACCUUGGUAUUGGCAUUCGGUGUGGAUUGUGUAGCAUAGGCGGGAGGCCGAGAGGCGCGGUCGCCAGAUCGCGCGGAGCCGUAAGGUGAAAUACCGCUCUGUUCGCAUUGGAUGUCUAACCUCGAACAGUCAUCCUGUUCAGGGACAGUGCCUGGCGGGUAGUUUAACUGGGGCGGUUGCCUCCCAAAGAGUAACGGAGGCGCCCAAAGGUCCGCUCAGCCCGGUUGGCAAUCGGGUGGCGAGUGCAAGUGCACAAGCGGGCUUGACUGCGAGGACGACGGUCCGAGCAGGGACGAAAGUCGGGACUAGUGAUCCGGUGCCGGUGUACGGACGCGGCAUCGCUCAACGGAUAAAAGGUACCCCGGGGAUAACAGGCUGAUCAUUCCCAAGAGUCCAUAUCGACGGGAUGGUUUGGCACCUCGAUGUCGGCUCGUCGCAUCCUGGGGCUGGAGCAGGUCCCAAGGGUUCGGCUGUUCGCCGAUUAAAGCGGCACGCGAGCUGGGUUCAGAACGUCGUGAGACAGUUUGGUCUCUAUCCUCUGCGCUCGUUGGAAUGCUGAGGAGGCCUGCCCAUAGUACGAGAGGACCUGGGUGGACGAACCUCUGGUAUGCCGGUUGUCACGCCAGUGGCACGGCCGGUUGGCUACGUUCGGAAGGGAUAACCGCUGAAAGCAUCUAAGCGGGAAGCCUGCUCCAAGAUAAGCAUUCCGUGGAACCUUCGAGUUCCUGUAGUCCCCAUGCAGAACACGUGGUCGAUAGGCCGGACGUGGAAGCCCCGCGAGGGGUGGAGCCGACCGGUACUAACGGACGAAAGGCAACACUGA